rnacentral:misc_RNA from 1 species
UCCGAGUUCACCCCGGCAGUCUCCUAUGAGUCCCCGGCAUAAUCCGCUGGCAACAUAGGACAAGGGUUGCGCUCGUUGCGGGACUUAACCCAACAUCUCACGACACGAGCUGACGACAACCAUGCACCACCUGUGCACGAUUCCCGAAGGACCCCACAUCUCUGUGGGAUUACCGUGCAUGUCAAACCCAGGUAAGGUUCUUCGCGUUGCAUCGAAUUAAGCCGCAUGCUCCGCCGCUUGUGCGGGCCCCCGUCAAUUCCUUUGAGUUUUAGCCUUGCGGCCGUACUCCCCAGGCGGGGCGCUUAAAGCGUUAGCUACGGCACAGAAGCCAUGACAGCUCCCACACCUAGCGCCCACCGUUUACGGCAUGGACUAC